rnacentral:rRNA from 1 species
AGUCGCCCGGAAAGGCCAUUCGGGGUGCUCGAGUGGCGAACGGRUGAGUAACACGUGGGUGAUCUGCCCUGCACUUUGGGAUAAGCCUGGGAAACUGGGUCUAAUACCGAAUAUGAUCACGGGCUUCAUGGUCUGUGGUGGAAAGCUUUUGCGGUGUGGGAUGGGCCCGCG